UACGUAGGCAGCGAGCGUUGUUCGGAGUUACUGGGCGUAAAGGGUGUGUAGGCGGUUCUCUAAGUUUGGUGUGAAAUCUCCCGGCUCAACCGGGAGGGUGCGCCGAAAACUGGAGGGCUAGAGUGCGGGAAGGGAGAGUAGAAUUCCUGGUGUAGCGGUGAAAUGCGUAGAUAUCAGGAGGAACACCGGUGGUGUAGACGGCUCUCUGGACCGUAACUGACGCUGAGACACGAAAGCGUGGGUAGCAAACAGG
rnacentral:rRNA from 1 species